rnacentral:rRNA from 1 species
GGCGAGUGGCGAACGGGUGAGUAAUACAUCGGAACAUGUCCAGUAGUGGGGGAUAGCCCGGCGAAAGCCGGAUUAAUACCGCAUACGAUCUACGGAUGAAAGCGGGGGAUCGCAAGACCUCGCGCUAUUGGGGUGGCCGAUGGCGGAUUAGCUAGUUGGUGGGGUAAAGGCCUACCAAGGCGACGAUCCGUAGCUGGUCUGAGAGGACGACCAGCCACACUGGGACUGAGACACGGCCCAGACUCCUACGGGAGGCAGCAGUGGGGAAUUUUGGACAAUGGGCGCAAGCCUGAUCCAGCAAUGCCGCGUGUGUGAAGAAGGCCUUCGGGUUGUAAAGCACUUUUGUCCGGAAAGAAAUCCUCUGGGUUAAUACCCCGGGGGGAUGACGGUACCGGAAGAAUAAGCACCGGCUAACUACGUGCCAGCAGCCGCGGUAAUACGUAGGGUGCGAGCGUUAAUCGGAAUUACUGGGCGUAAAGCGUGCGCAGGCGGUGAUGUAAGACCGAUGUGAAAUCCCCCGGGCUUACCUGGGAACUGCAUUGGUGACUGCAUCGCUGGAGUAUGGCAGAGGGGGGUAGAAUCCACGUGUAGCAGUGAAAUGCGUAGAGAUGUGGAGGAAUACCGAUGGCG